rnacentral:lncRNA from 10 species
UGCACCUCUGCCUGCUCCUGCCGUUAAUUCUACCUCCCAUUUCAGGAAGAGAAUGUGGGGCUGAGAAAAGUUAUCUAUUGCUCAAUUGGACCUCUCCAGUUUCUGUGAGACAAUGUCCUUUCUAUGCACCUUGGGAGAAGAAAGAGAAUCACUGCUCCAUGCAACUAUUCAAAGACCCAAGCUUCUUCCAUCACAUGAUUCUACCAUCUUUUAGGAAUUUGUCUUUUUUUGCAUUUAACCAGAGUAGGAAAAGGAUGAGGAGAGGAGACAGAGAGGAUUGUGUGGGGGACAUUUUAUAGGUCAG